rnacentral:ribozyme from 1 species
AGGGGUAAAAAAGUAGAAAGGAAUGGAAAAGGCCUUUCACCAGAGACGCAUUUCCCCCAGGCUCCUUUCUUUCUUUCUUUCUUUGUUUCUUUCUUAGAUUUAUGUUUUUUAAUGUAUUUGUAGUAAAUAGAAGAAUAAGAAGAA